UUUUCAAUUACUCUGUUUUACGCCCCCGUAGACCUCUUUUCCCCCGUUCUGCUUUUAGAGGUCCUGCUUUUCUUCUUCGUUCUUGAAAUGACUUCGCUCUCUCUUUCCGGCGGAAUCACGCGACUGUGUCACUUAAAUUUACGGUAUACAUAGUACGCAAUGAGCAAAUGUGCUUUCUCGUGCUCGAUCGGAACAAGGGAUGAGUGAUCUUCCGAAUGAACUCGAGAUCUCAUUGAUUGUCCGAUAUUUUCAGUGAAUCUCAGUUCUUCGGAGAUGGCAACAGUUUCUCCACGGGAAUCCUUCCUUCACGGAUCUCCUCAACUCUGUCAUGAACUAAGCUGCCUCUUGACACCCAGUAAUUAGACGUCGGUCGCGAAAGUUGGUGCGAGAUAGGAUCAUCCGAGGACGAUCCGACGAUCUCGUUGCGAUCUGUUCUGCCCGAUGCAAAUACGUGCUUAGUGAUUUUCUCGGUGCGCAUCUGCGCAGAUUGCUCCGUGAGCACGCAAGCUCGCUCUCACCCUCGGACCCCGUGGGUCCGCAAGCUUGCCUCUCUUCGCGGAAAGCCUCCGGGUUUGGCCGUCAUCAGCAGAUGUUCCAUAUCAGCACUAACCGACGAUAAUUGCUGACGAUGGUCAACGGUUUUACUCCCGAGACGCUUUCCCAAGACGACCAGAUCGAUUAAUCACGCGCGACUAGCGGAAAGACGGACGGAUGGACGACGAUCGUUAUUUUUAGAGCCACGUUAAAGUUCAAUCCCGUUGCAAAUCCCUGUUACGUGCACAAGUCUUAGAAAAGGUAGAAAUGCGCUUUUGGCCGCAAUUUGACCCGCAACGCUGUUUCAUUAACGAUCCGCGGAGUUUAUUCAAUGGUUUACUUGAUGAAGAAUAAUCGUCAAAGGUCUCUUGAUUAUUAAUUUAUUUAUUAAAUUAUUUAUGUCAAAAUUAUAUUAAAAUUGUUAAGGUGAUUCAAUUUCUUGAUAACAUAUCAUCUUCACGAAGAUACCGUACAUACGUUCCAUGUGCAUCAUUUGUCGAUGCUUAUCAUUCGUCAGCAAGGAGUUCACGAUUGGCCUCGAUUCAACGUACGAUUCGUGAAGCUGUCGAGCCCUUUCUGGCAUUGUUGUAUUUAGUACUUUUCGAUGGUUUAAUUGUUUAGAAGCUAAAAGCCUACUUAAGAGUUUAGGUACAUGAGCAAUUAGAUACAUUCAAAUCCAUUUUGAUUCGAGAGAUGAGCUCGAUUGCUUUGGCUGCUUGGAUUCUGGAUAUUCUGCUUAAAUUUCGUUUGUUAUUUGAAAUUUUCGAAUAAUUCCUGUGAACAACCGGAAGAAGCCCCUAACCUCAAGGGACACAGGUGACACGCCCUCAAUUCAGGAGUUCCACCAUUCUGUCAUGUUUUCUUUUUUCAUCCUUUAGCAGAAUUUUUCCGUUGAUUUUUCAUUAAUCAUACUAUUAUCCUUUAUUAUUUUAUAGCUACGUCUAGAUUUUGAUUUUUGUUCGAUUGAAACAAGAUUCAAUCAGCUAGUAGCUGUGUGUGUUAACAUUAAAUACUAAAAAAUUGAAAAAUAAAUUUAAUUCUUAUAACAUUCAAGAAACUUGUUAAUAGCAGAGACGUUUCGAUAUCAAACGGUAUUGUUAAAUUAUUUAUUUUUACUAAUACCAGUGCCAAAUACUCAAGAAAAUUAUUGGCAUGCCAAAUAGUUUUCCUGCUUUCCGCGGUUUUGCGCACGAUAUAGCGCUUGUCAAUGGUUACAUGCGAUUCGCUGUUACUCGCACGCGCUUAAAGAUAUCGCGCUCAAUUGAAAAGGUCGAUCCUUUUAAGAGGCCCUUGUCGAUGUUUUCCAUUCAUUGAAAUUUCUUCGUCGACUUCCGUCUCUCGAUUACUCGCUAUCGUCGUGACAGUCGUCGUCGCCGUCGUUAUUGUCAUCAUGCGAGUGAUGUAUCUCUCGCGCUGUUUCACGACAUUAGAUCACCGAUAUUUAACGCUUGUCAAACAUCAUUACGUUACUGAUCAUUCGGAUUAGAAUUAUUCUCAAAUCGAGUAAUAUAACUGGAAUUAUCCACGUUUUCAAGUUAUAGCAUGUUGCUGUGUUUUUCACGAAAUGAUUUAAUCAAUUGAUACAUAAUAGCAACAGAAUAAAACAUAUCGGAGUAUGUUUCAUAUUUUUAGUCUUCGAUCCAUUCAUAUAUUUUCACGUUCCAUUAGUUUUUAAGUUUGCUUUACAUAAUUAUUAAAAUUUUCAUGUAUAAAAUCUGAUUUGCGCAUUCAUAAAUAUUUAUGUAUUACGGUUUUGCAUUCUAUUUCUUGGUAAGCGUAAACUUUCUAAAAGAGAAAUAUUUCAUAUAUUUAUCUAUAUAUAUUUUUGAGUUUAUUACAAACAAAAAUUUUUUUAAGGUUUUGUGAAAACACAUACUCACAGAGAGUAUCUCAGUCUGUAUGCAUUAAAUAAAAAUCCUGUCUCGAAAUCAUAUGGAAAUGAAAAUAUUAAUAUCAAAACGUAGACGUUAGAAUAGUUCUCAAAUGAAAAACAUUUCAAGUUAACCAAUUAGAUCUAAAGUUUACUUACAUGUAGUACAUCGUAUAAUAAUGAAUCAUUUGUAGAGAUAAAAAUUCUAAUAUCACACUAUGGAAGUAUAAUUGUUUUUAAAUGGAAACCAAUUUUAAAAUUGACCGAUUAUAAUACAUCAUUUAAAUUUAUGCGCUCAGACACGAAAAAAUGUUAAAAUCAAUAUUAAUAAAUUUUAGUUAUUUGCAGACACUUUUAUUAUCGUGUCAGAGCGCACAAAUUUAAAUGAUGUAUUAUAAUCGAUCAAUUUUAAAAUUGGUUUCCAUUUAAAAACAAUUAUACUUCCACAGUGUGAUAUUAGAAUUUUUAUCUCUACAAAUGAUUUCAGAAAUAUAUUAUUUACAGAUGAUGCGUUAAAGUAUUUGGAGCAUCCCUUUCCUCUUUUGUGUGUGUGUGUGUCAUACUAAUCCAGUAUAUACAUUAAUUAUCUUCAUUGACAUGACACUCCAAACCAGAUCUGGUUAAAUGACGCUCUUCCCAAGCUCAUUGUCAGGCGAUUUAGUACCCUGCAAGAUGAAUUGCCUUACGGUCUAUGCCUUCGAGCAGUACUAGUCAUUAGUGCCAUAAAACGACGACGUCUUCGAGUCAACAUCAUUGAUUCUUCGCGGAAAUGAUCAUUGUAACGGAAGAAAUAGCUCGUGAAAAAUAAUAGCUUGAUUCAGUUGUAUGAAAUGUGCAGCACAAGUAAGACUAUUGUACAGCGAAAGGAACAACAAAAUAUAUCGUUUUUUAUAUAUCCUUAUCACAUGUUUGGUAUUAUCCGCAUCGUUCGAGAUUUCAAUGACUAUCCGAUUAUCUACAGCGAUUAUCUACUUCGAAUAUCCGGUGUUUAAUCUUGGAAUGAAUAAGAGACAUUUUCGAAUCUUUAGUGUUUUACGAUGUCAGAGGAAUUUCCUGCCAUUUUAAGAUGAAUAUCUGUUCACAAAAAAUUUGUUAUCAUUUCUCUGCAACGACAUUUAGAUUUUUCGCCAAACUUUAAUUAAGGUCUAAGGUCCUCGUUGCUUUGGAACACCUAGAUCUAUGUUUAGUUCGACCUUUCUGAAAAGCAUUUAGAUUAUCAAAGUUAUGACACUAUCCGGAGCAUCUGUCCUUCUCCCUCCCUCAUUGAUUCACCUGCUGUUCACCUGACAUUUCGAUCGGUGCGAUCGCGUGCCGGUCGAACUUCACCUCCGCAUUCGACACGUCACCCGAUUCGCGCUGCCACCCCUCAUCAAAGUGAAUCGAUCGCGACAAGGCGGGGGUUGAAAGUUUCUCUUUGCGGCUCGGCCUUGUGCCUUCUGUCUCGUUCUCGUAACGCCAAACAUUAUCUAUAACAUCGUCAGUCGAUUGAUGCACUUCGCAGCGACUUUGUUGAACCGUCGAUGAAUCAUUGAUUUGCAAUCUAUCGGCUUCCGGCUUGAUCUUACGCCAGGUAGUGCGUUUGCUCUCGGCGAAUAAGUCAAUGGUAUUUGACUUCCACGCGUUUUAAUUUCGCUCGUCGAUUCGCUCCGGUAAUAUCGGCGACGAUUCGACGCUAUUUCCGAGCGACGUCCUCGGAAUAGCAUGCCGACUCUCAGCUGGAACGAAACUCGACCACCGGCUGGAUCGAUGUCUAUGGUAUAUUUAAGGGCCGUCAGUUCAGAGCGCAAGUCCUACCUCGAAAUAAAACGCUCGAUACUAAAUUGGAUGGUCUCCCGUAUUUUUCUUCGCUUCCGCUUGGCUUUACCCUAUCAUAUGUAUUUCCCGGUUAAUAAAACAUUAUUUUCGUGCGAUAUUCUACACCUGUUUUAAAUAUACGUUUGAAACAUGCUUUUAAGGAAAAGAAGGCGAAUUCCAAGAAAAACGAAAUUUAGAAAGGAAAAGAGAACUCGCUUUGAAGUAAAGGUAAAUUGAAACUAGCGGAAUUGUCUGUCGGAAAUUGGACAUUAUUAACUUGCGAGAACGAACGCUUCCUUCUCCAGCUUAUUUUAUUAAAAUUCUAGUCUUUACAGCGAGAAGAUAUUUUUAUCUAAUCAAUAUACUGUCCUUGAGGCGUGAGUUUGCGACUUUCGUUUGAUUCGCACACAGCCUCCUAUUUUAUCCAUCCGCAUGCCCUUAUAUCUUCUCAGCGAUUUAAAUAUCCUGCUAUUAACAUCAGUCCCUGAUUUAAAAUAUUUUCCCGCUUAAUAUUCGAUCGCGGUGCGCGAUAUUAUUUUUCACCGAAGACUUCAUCUAUCGCAAUCGCCAGGACGACGUACCAUAUCGUAUAUAAACGACAAUUUAUUUGUGAUUUGUCGCGCGGGUCAUCAAAGUUAAAGCGAUGCUUCCUGAAAUUUUACAAUAAAAUUCCGCCUAGCGUACUUGGCUUGCGAGUUGUUAGAUAACUUUUACGAUUCGAAAUGAGUCGUCGCCGAUGACGUCCGCCGGACUUGGCUUAACGAUUAUUCUGACAUUCAUUAAUAGGAUAAUGAGUCAGGCGGCGGAAUUUAGCGACACCUUUUAAUGCUCUUGCAUCGUAAUAGUUUCUGGAAAUUGCUGGAAUUCCUUGACAAGAAGAUGCGGUAAGAAAUCGCCUAUGCUUCUCGAAGAAAGUAAGAUAAUCACGUUGAUAUCAUUAAUUACUUUGAUUCUGAUAUCAGAAGCACGAAUAGAAUUUGAGAGUUAAGGAUGGAGGAUUAAACUUAUUUGGGUCCAAAGCCUCUUAAUCUAAUUGUGAUCCAUCUGAUUUAAUUGCUUCCUCGAGGGUUUCCGUUUAAGGUUUCUGUAGCACUUGUGAAGUGACCGAGGUCUUUAUUGGAUCAGAGAAGUAAUCAGGAAGUUGUGUAUCUAGAGACACCUGGAAUCAAAGAUAAAUCCCUUCUUUUGUGUCAAAAUACAACUGUACAAUUCCAUUUUGUUGCAUCUGCACAAUGUGCGAAUAACAGUGCAGCAUUAAGUCCGUGCAACUUCUUUACAGUUACGAUAUAAAAAAUAGAUUUCACACGCAAUUGUAGAUUUAUCAUACUCCUCUAUUUUUAGAUUAAAGUAGAACUUAUAACAGAACUUAUAACAAGUAUGAACUUUUGCACGAGCCUGAAAGCGUGAAGUAUGCGUUACUUUACUUAGAUAUAGACGAAUGCAUUAAUCUCAUAACUAUAAAGUGUACUACACUAUUCAAAGGAAAUAGGAAUUUGCUUUCUCAAGCGCCCGUUAAAUAUUGAAUACUUUGAAGAUUUUGUUAAUACGUAAUAAAGAUGUAUUAAUAGAUAUAAGAUUAGGAAGAGAUAGAAUUUUUAUUUUUUAUUAAUUGCUGAAAUUUAUUUCUUAUCUAUAAUUUCUAUUUAAUGUUUAGUAGAACGAAUAGUUUCUAAUCUAAUCAAAUAAGGUUCUUUCUGUUUCAUGUCUUCCAAAUUCCCAUGCUUGUAUACUGAUUGUGCUACAGGGAAUAUUCAUAAUCCAAAACUCACUUGUAUUUCUGCUCUGUACACCUAUUGAACAAAUAUUUAUUCUUCCCAAGUUUCAAAAGAGAAUGUCGUAACUGUGACUUUAAAAGUAUCUUCUCUUCCCUCUUUUCUUCUCCGAAUCCAACGCUUUUAACUUUCUACCGAUAUGAGUUGUUUGAAACGACUUUUUAAGCAUUGUGGAAUGUCGCUCCCAUCUAUCAUGAAUGACGGAGAUGCCACUGUAAAUCCUAGAUGCGACAUCCUUCCUGACGCUUGCUGCGUCUAUGCGAUGUUUCUCUCUUCGACAUGUCCCCUCUUUCGCACUUCGAACCCAUCUCGAUCUUAACACUGACCAAAAACCAAAAUGAACUGGCACGAACCGGUCGCGUACCGGUGUCGUAUGGAAAAAGAGAAAUAGAAAUUGCGCGCAUGUUCACUUGCAUACGUUGAGAUGCCUGCCCCCUCAUUCUUUUUCUGUAGCCAACAGAUGAAUGAAUGAAUGAAUGCAAAUAGACUCGAGAUUCUUCUGUUUCUAUAGCAGACACAAACCGAACGUGACUUCUUGUCAAUUUUUUAUCAUGAUUGCUCUAUUUUAUAUUUUAGUUAAAUUUUACCAUCGAUCGAUCUUGCCAGAAGGCAAUCUGUCAGAAGAAUUUUUUAAACAAUUAUUUUGUCUUGAUUUUAUUUGUCUUAAAUUUUGUAACAUUUAUAUUACGAAAAUUAUCAUAUGUGAUACCUCAUAUUUCAUAAUAUUCUUUAGAAAUGUAUAAUUUGCAAAAAAUAAAAAUCGAGCUACAAUUAAAUUGUUAGUCUUGUGUUAAAUAUUUAUUUUCAGAGUGGUCCUAUGUUGAUUAUUUACCUAACUUUAAUUUAAUUCUUUGAUUAAGUUCGGUUUAUGGAUUUGCAUUUCUGGUUUCGAUUAAAGUUGUUGCAUGCAAUGAAUGAGCAGUUAAGUAUAAUAAAAUAGCUAGGAAUGUUACGCAUGUGUUGCAUCUUCGCGUCACAUUCCUUACAUAUGUUCCGCAUAUCUUUAACAUAACUUUUACAUUUGAAUAGAUUAAGUAGAUACCACGGAAAGCUUGUUACGAUUAUUCUUACGAUAGUAGUCCUCUUUGAAAAACGAAAGAAAAUGUAUACAAUGCGUUUCACGUCAUCUUUUUAAACUAAGAAUAACAGCUAGUAAAUAAGUAAAUUACCAAUAGGUAAUUUACUUAUUUACUUUUCUAGAAAUAUCUAGAAUAGAGAAUUCUCGCAGCAACAAAAAUUCGUCGUCAAAGAAUAAUCCAUUUCGUGCGCUUUUUAAUAAAAAAGAAGUACUCCGAAAGGACGAAGCUUGCUGGAUCUUUUUCCACCGCCUCACCGUCUUUCUCUUGAGUCCGUCUUUUCUUUGAUCACGUAGUUUAUAAUGACAAAUUCUCAUCGACGUGUUAAAACGACGAAAAUGUCAAGGCAAAGAGGGAAAACCGAUUUACAUGCCGAUCCCGGCACGAAUGUCGUUGUGUCAAUAAGCGCGCUAACUCGAUCGCGUGCCGUCGUUGCGAGAAAAUUGUAUUGCGAAAAUUUCCAUGACAGGCCGAUACGAGCACAAGGUUGACCCGUAUAAAUUGCAAAAUUCUCUCUAAAGAGUAAUGAAUAAUCUAAAAAUCAAUUUGCGUAACGUACUGUCCGCGUAAACGUUUAUUGCAAACGUUUAUUGUUGAUUUACGUUAGAUCAUUAGGAGCAAGAAAGUUUUCGAGAAAAAUUGUUGCCUGUUUGUUGCUUUAAUGUGCUUAUACGUCGCGUCUUAUUAAUUAUGCAUCUGUCUAUUAUGCUAAUGCUCUUAUGUAAAUCUGUGUGCAAUGAAUUAGUGAACACGUAAUCACGUAUCGUUAGGUUGUUCUCUGGAACUGACGCUCAAAACAUCUAUAUUUGACUUACAUUACUGGCAAAUGUAGUUAUAAGCAACUCUUCUAUAUUGCCACGAAAUAGGAGAACUUUAAAUUAAGUUACAUCAAGGAAUAUAUAUUAAGUAAAUAUCUGUAUAGACUGUAAAGUACCUUUGAGAGAUAUACUAGCAAUUUAUGUAAUUUAAAUACAAAUUACCUUUAAGUAAAUAGUCUAUUAAUUAAACUAAUUUAAUAUUCUCAACACUAUGUAUUUGCGUGAAUUACAAAAUACAAAAUAUAAAUCCAAGGAAAUUGCAUAAAACAUCCUAAAAUUUUGCGGAAGAUAAUUUGAUCGAUUAAUUUUGUCGCAAAAUUAAUAAAAAUUAAUCGCUUUGCCUCGUAACGGAAAUUACGAUACGUCUCACUUCCGCAACGUGGCAACGGAAACGUAUGCGGAAACGCAUUGCAUCCAAUUAGUCGUCCUUUUGUUUGAUUCAUAUAUGUUUAUUGAUGAAUCGAGCGUAUGCAUUCGCUUAGUCGCUCGUCCCGCGACUCAGUAAAAAAGUGCCAGAUGAUGUACCCACGAGAAAGAAAGGAAAAAAGAAAAGGAAAGAAAGACAGAAGGAGAGAGAGACAAGAGGAGGCCCCCCAACGGCUAUGACAUAAAUACAUUCAAUGUCUCAAAGACUUUCAGGGACGGUCGGACGAGAAUAGACGAAAAUCCAAUUUUAAUCACGGAACCUCGACCCGCGUUCGCCACGCAGCAUCACAAAUGCAUGUCGAUAGAAGCGGAUUUUCAAAGUUUGUGCUUGUUCCUGUCGCGGCACAUAAUUUCGAUUGAUUCGAGUUACGAUGUGUGGACACCGCAAACAGCAGGAGGAUACAUACAUUGCCAAUCUGUCGCGUUUCUGUUACCAGAGUUAGCACAGAAGUCAUUGCAAUAUUUCGCAAGUCCGUAAUCCGAACGUGGAUUUCGAUUCUUUAAUUCGAGUCAAGGAUUUCUCGAUGAUAUCUCGUAAGGCUUGCCUGAUAAACUCUGGUUUGAAUAAUCCAUGAGUCAUUUGCGCGGCCAGAUGGUGGAGUAAUUGGAUUGCAGUAAUUGAAAAAAAUAAGUUCGCGAACUUUAGUCUAGGAUGAGAUUGAGUCAGAACACAAUAUUCUGUCGACGACACGAUACUUCAUGUAAAUAAAUAUCGGAAAAAUGGAAAUGUCGCAAUACAGUAAAGUCUUCAAACUUGUCAAGUACCAGAGUUGGCAUUCCCUUGUAAUAUCGGAUAAAUAUGUGUCUAUGGUUACUUCUGUUACAUUUGUUUGUUGUAACCACUGCCUGUAUAACAUUCUGAUUCAGCUAUCGAUAUUUGAAUUGCGUGACGAUUUUGAUAUCGCGUUUGGAAGAUCGUUUCAUCUUGAGUAAUUAUAUGCAUCUCUAUGUUUUUAGUAUCUGAUAAACUUUCAGAAUUAUUUUAAACAUAAUUUUAUAAUUAAAAUAAUCUUGCUUAAUUGUAAUUAUGUUUAUUAUGUGUAAUAGUAUCUUUGUAAAUCGAGAUAAUAAUAUUUGCAUAAAAGGAUAUGAUAGUUAAAUCGAAAUCUCUUGAAACAAUUUUAUGCAUAAUUUGACAAAAGAUUUUUCCUCUCUGAAAAUGAAUUAUAAACAGAUAUAAAUUAUAUAAAUAGAAUAAUAAUAGAAUUUACUUAUAUAUGGAAAUAUUACGUGCAUUUAUCAGCAAUUUGCAAUAAGUGAAUUUGUUUGAAUAAUUUUUCAAAGUAGAUCCGUUAUUGUUUAUCGGCAUGCUUUGUAAACACGGAUGUCCUCGUUUACUUUGUUUUACUUUCGAAUCUAACCAUGUCAUAAGUGUUUUUCCACAAAACUCUACUAGAGAUUCUAAAUAUAUUCCUAACAACUCGCUACAUCGACACGUGAGUCGUGAAGACAUUUGAUCGAUAAGACGUUUUCUAUACACCGCGAGUCACGCGAUUCAAUGUCUUCAAGGUAAAUGAUGCAAACUUUUUAUACGUAACAGGAAAUUACUAUGCUAUUUUUAUAUCCCCCGUGUAUUUUAUUUUAUAUUACAUUGUAUUAAUUUUUCUCUCUCCAAUAGGAACGAUAUUACGAAAAAUUGGGUUAAAAUAAUAAAAUUCAAAGUUGAUACAAAGUUGAUAAUUGACUCCAAAGGCUGCAUUUUAAACUGAAUUUACUCGAAGCUAUUAUUCAGAGAAAUAAUUAAUUUUUACGUAACGUCGUCCAAUCGCGAGCUACUAAUUGCUAGGUGUAUUAUUUUAAAUCACCCGCUGCUCUCUCAAGUUUUAUUGUAGAAACGUUAUAUUAUCAUUCCGCGGAAAUAUUGAAUAUCGUAAGAAGUUGUGUAUAUAGAUAGACAUAUAUAGAUAGAUAGAUAUAUUAAAUAAUUCAGAUGUAUAGCUUAAUUAUACGCAUGAUAAAAGGAUUAUUCAGUUUUGUUACUCUUGAUAUAUAACAAAUAUGUAAAAUCAAUUUUUAUCGAGUGAACUGUGCCCCAAGUAUCGUGAAUGGGCUCUCCAGGUUCCGCCUUCCGCAAAGAAAACCUGUGACGACUCACGAAAUCGAUUGAGACUCAUCCGAGACGUAAAAAAAUCCCAUCGCUAGAUGAGAGAGGCACGUUUGAUACACGCAGCGGGCACGUAACGUGCUCGAGUUAAAUGACCAAUCUCUCCCUCUUGACCCAAUUCGUAAAACGUCCUGUACCACGCACUGUGCGUGACGUCACACGCGCAGAUCUCCUCUCCCGGCAACUGUUGAGAGUGAGUAAUGCGUGAGGGUGCGUGCAAGGCCAGUCAGCCAGCCAGCCACCCAGCCAGCCAGUCAGUCAGCCAACCAACAGGGCGGCGUGGCGUUUGUGUUUUGAACGGCGGCGAACGAUGGCCCAAUAUCGACCGGCCUGACAAAUGGCUCAUUUGUAUCUGUCGCGUAUGUCCGUAUCUAUGGAAGACAUCAGGAACAUUUACCCAAUGAACGUAGCGGCACCCUGUUACGCAAAUGCGACCUGAACCGCAGGGACCUCUCAUUGAUAGAUAGAAAUCGUCCGACUACCUUGAUUAAUUUAUAUAUGCAGUUUGAAUGCAAAUUUCGGACUGGUUCCUGAUAACUCGAAAUAUUCAUUGUUGCAUUGCGCGAUAGGUAAUUUGUGGGCUUAUCGUAUGAGUCUCAUUAAAUUCUGAAAGCGCACUAACGUUUCUGGCAGGAAUUUCGAUGGCUUGGUGCCAUCAAUCGCGUUUUUCCCGAUUAGACGAACGCAAAAUGUUUACGAGAGCACUUUAUUAUUUAUGUGCAAAAAUAUGCUAAUCAAUAUUUAUUACGAAUGAUAAUAUUCCUCAAGAAUAGACUUAAUAUUUGAUUAUGAGCCACUCACUCUAACGACCGAUUCGCUCAAUUGAUAUGUGAUGCUAAUUACGCAAACGACGUUUUCCUGUUACACACGGCCUCGAAAUUUUUGAUGAACCUCAAUUAUUCACGUUAUAUCGCAGCCGAUACGAGCGGAAUAAUAUCGAUCAGCAAUAAAGCGCGCGCGCACGUGCCUUCCUCAUAAAUAAUUUAAUCCGGCCUGGUUUGCGAAAUUGUGUCUUUUGACAUUAUCGCUAGUGAAAUGCGGUUCAAUGUCGCACAUGUGACGGCCAUUGUGUUUUACAGUGGUAUUUUCACUUAUGUUUAAAAGACGAAUGUGUCUCCACACCACUGGUCUGUAAGAUCCAGCGAGACGCAAAGUAUUUGCCAAGUGCGGCUAUUUUUACAUGUGCAUUUCACAUUAUAACGAGCGUCGCUGAGAAUCCGUCUUUGAUGUGUGUUAUAUAUGCAUAUAUCGAUCGACGUAAAACGUAAAUUUCUCACUUUUUCAUUUUUUCUCUCUGUAUAUUUCUGACAUAGCGCAUUAUUGCUUAUCAGUUCAUGGUUUUAAUUUAAAAUGUAUAAUAUUUCUCCUGGUACGAAAAACUGGUAAUUUUUACGUAUUUAAGAUCGUUCUUCCAUAAAAAACCAGACAGGAAAUAGAAUAGAAUAUUUUUCAUGAUGAUAUUAAUCACGUUUAAAUUUUUCUGAAGUUUCACAAAAUUUGCAGCAUCUAUUUUAUCUCGUAUUAUAAAUUCGGGUGAUGAGAACAAAUUUCCAGCUUCAUCUCAAAAAGAUCGAUUUUUAAUAUACUUAAUCAAUUUUAUUAGCACAGAAGAUCGGAUUAAUACGUAUCUCCCGUUAUCUCUUGCAAUGGAAAAAAAUCGGAUAGCAAUUAGAUAAAGACUCGACAAACAUCUAACCCAGUUUGAUAAGAGAUUAGCUGUAUAAUGCGGUUCGUCAAGUCGGAACGUGAGACAACAAAGUUUGCCUGUUAACAUAACAUUGCAUAACGCAUGCCGGAGCGAUUAGCGCCGAUACUAAAAUGCGUCAUCCGCUAUCGUCACUAUCACUUUCCCAGGAGCAAAAUAAGUCUAGCCCAUAUCGAGUGUACUUUCCGUUCGAUUGAUACACCGGAUAUCGGUGGUCGGCUCGAAAUAUAGCGGGUACCAAAUCGCCCGGUAGAAGUGGCGCCAAGCGGCCGAGGAAGAUCCCGGUUGCAGACCUCCCGCGUGCGCUAUUGCGAUACGAUAACCAUUGCACUAUCAACGUGUAUAUGCACGUUUAGAUGUACGUGCUCUACAUGCAGAGACGAGAGACGAGACAAGACGAGAAAGAGAGAGAGGGAGAAGGCGUAUAGUUGGUGGUGCCCUACUUGGGUAUUGAUCCGUGACAGUGGGAGGCGUUCGUUAGAGGUGGCUAGGUCGUAGGUCGCAUGCGCGUUUCCACCGAUGAUUCCGUGUCGCCAUCAUCGACCCAUGACCCGAGAGAAAUAGAGCCAAAUCGGCAAGGAAUGCCGGAGAAAGAGGGAGAAAGAGACAGAGAGAGAGAGAGAAAGUAAAGGGUGAGGAAAAGAUGGGACAGGCAGGGAAAGUAGAGCAAAACGCGAAA